rnacentral:rRNA from 1 species
GACGAACGCUGGCGGCGUGCUUAACACAUGCAAGUCGAACGGAAAGGCCCCUUUGGGGGUACUCGAGUGGCGAACGGGUGAGUAACACGUGAGUAAGCUGCCCUUGACUUCGGGAUAACUUCAGGAAACUGGGGCUAAUACCGGAUAGGAAUAAUUGCUGCAUGGUGGGGGUUGGAAAGCUUCGGCGGUUUUGGGUGGAAUCGCGGCUUAUCAGCUUGUUGGUGGGGUAGUGGCUUACCAAGGCUUUGACGGGUAGCCGGCCUGUGGGGGCGACCGGCCACAUUGGGACUGAGAUACGGCCCAGGCUCCGACGGGGGGGAGCCGUGGGGAAGAUUGCACGAGGGGCGGAAGCCUGAUGCAGCAACUCCGCGGGCGGGAUGACGGCCUUCGGGUUGUAAACCGCUUUCAGCAGGGGCGAAGCUUGUGGUGACGGUACCUGCAGAAGAAGCACCGGCUAACUACGUG